rnacentral:rRNA from 1 species
CUGGAGGUAUCAGAAGUGCGAAUGCUGACAUAAGUAACGAUAAAGCGGGUGAAAAGCCCGCUCGCCGGAAGACCAAGGGUUCCUGUCCAACGUUAAUCGGGGCAGGGUGAGUCGACCCCUAAGGCGAGGCCGAAAGGCGUAGUCGAUGGGAAACAGGUUAAUAUUCCUGUACUUGGUGUUACUGCGAAGGGGGGACGGAGAAGGCUAUGUUGGCCGGGCGACGGUUGUCCCGGUUUAAGCGUGUAGGCUGGUUUUCCAGGCAAAUCCGGAAAAUCAAGGCUGAGGCGUGAUGACGAGGCACUACGGUGCUGAAGCAACAAAUGCCCUGCUUCCAGGAAAAGCCUCUAAGCAUCAGGUAACAUCAAAUCGUACCCCAAACCGACACAGGUGGUCAGGUAGAGAAUACCAAGGCGCUUGAGAGAACUCGGGUGAAGGAACUAGGCAAAAUGGUGCCGUAACUUCGGGAGAAGGCACGCUGAUAUGUAGGUGAAGUCCCUCGCGGAUGGAGCUGAAAUCAGUCGAAGAUACCAGCUGGCUGCAACUGUUUAUUAAAAACACAGCACUGUGCAAACACGAAAGUGGACGUAUACGGUGUGACGCCUGCCCGGUGCCGGAAGGUUAAUUGAUGGGGUUAGCCGCAAGGCGAAGCUCUUGAUCGAAG